rnacentral:rRNA from 1 species
ACAGCGAGGAGGUUGGCUUAGAAGCAGCCAUCCUUUAAAGAGUGCGUAACAGCUCACUCGUCAAGAGACUUCGCGCCGAAAAUUAUCGGGGCUUAAGCAGAGUACCGAAGGUGAGAGUGCUGACGCAACUUUCAAUUUCUAACUUAUAAUUUCCAAUUUUUGGUAAUUAAAUUGUUGGCAAUUGGCAGUUGCGCCAGCGCGGUAGGAGAGCGUUCCAAAUGCAGUGAAGCUCACGGCGUGAGCCGGAGUGGAGCGUUUGGAAGUGAGAAUGUUGGCACAAGUAACCACAAGUCCGGUGAAAUCCCGGACCACCGAAAACCCAAGGUUUCCUUGGCAAUGACAAUCAGCCAAGGGUUAGUCGGCCCUAAGCCAAUGGCGAAAGCCGGAGGCGAUGGAUAGCUGGUUAAUAUUCCAGCACUGCGUAUUUUUUUGAUGACGGGACGGAAUCUAGUACAUUGAGCGUGUUAUUGGAUUCGCGUUCAUGGCGUAAGGGUAGAGUAUAGGAAAAUCCGUACUCUCGCUUUAGUGCGGCAUCCAAGCGCUUUGAAAACCCGGCACAGCAAUGUGCUGGGAAUUCAAUGGAGCAGGUUUCCCAGAAAAUCGUCUAAAAAUAUUAAUACGCAACCGUACCGGAAUCCGACACAGGUGGGUAGGUCGAGAAGACCAAGGUGAACGAGUGAAAGAUCCCCAAGGAACUCGGCAAAAAAGCAUCCGUAAGUUCGCAAUAUGGAUUCCCAGCUGCACUUUUUGAGCUUUUGCAAAAUAAAAGAGCAGGCCUGAUUACAGGCCUGCAACAACAAUACAGCUACGCGUUAUUCUUCCAGGUGGGUCGCUCCGAUGAGCGCGCCGGUUGCAAUAAUGCCAGAUAGAAUAGCGACGAAGUUGAGGGCUACGAAGUUUACAAGUUCGACAUCCUCUACGCCAAUGGCCAUGACGAUUAUGUCGGCAAGCAAAAUCAAUCCCGCCGUAAAGUAACCAGCAACAUACAAUAACUUCACAAAAUCCUUCAUUUUGCACCUCCUUUGCCAUUAUAGCAUAUUGGUAAAAUAAGUCAAGAGCUUAAAAAGUGCGGCUGGGCGCAGCGAAAGUACCCCUGGCGACUGUUUAACAAAAACACAGCUCCCUGCAAACUCGUAAGAGGAAGUAUAGGGGGUGAUGCCUGACCAAUGCGAGAAGGUUAACGCUGGCGUUCCAGUGCAGCAAUGUGCUGGGGUGACUGGCCGAAGCCCUCGUCAAUGUCGGCCGUAACUAUAACGGUCCUAAGGUAGCGAAAUUCCUUGUCUGGUAAGUUCAGACGCGCACGAAAGGUAUAACGACUGGGGGACUGUCUCGGGGAUUUACUCGGUGAAAAUGCGAUACCGGUGAAGAUGCCGGUUAAGUGCAGUUAGACGAAAAGACCCCGGAAGCUUUACUGUAAGUUGUUAUUGGCUUUAUGUUUUUAAUACGUAGCGUAGUGGGGAGGCUUUGAAGCGUUUCUCUCGGGAGGCGUGGAGCCGCCAAUGAAAUACCCAUUUUUAAAAAUGUAAAAUCUAACCUGUCCGGCAAAACCGGAUGGGGACAGUAGCUGCUGGGCAGUUUGUGUGGGGCGCAAGCCUCCUAAAAAGUAACGGAGGCGUUUAUUAAGGUCAGCUAGGCGCGGAUGGACACCGCGCUAGUCGUGCAAUGGCAUAAGCUGGCUUGACUGGAAGUCGGACAUGACGACCAGAUGCGAAAGCAGAACAUAGUGAACCGACCGUUGGCACUCGAUGCCACGGAAGAUUAACGGAUAAAAGCUACUCCGGGGAUAACAGGCUAGUUCCGUCCAAGAGUCCAUAUCGACGACGGAGUUCGGCACCUC